UGGCUUGUGAGUAAGUCCUAGUCAGUGCUUACGAUGUUUCCUUCCAUCGGUUGGUUAGAGUCGUAAGAGUGAGCUGGCUAGGGUUCACAGGCCU
rnacentral:sRNA from 1 species